AUCUCUUACACAAAAGCUACGCGUCUGCGUUGUCUGAACGUAUUUCAUCUUCGAGUGGCCGCGUCUGCAGCUGUGUCGUUUUGACCACCGAGUAGUUUUACAUUUUUUUGCUAUUUCUUAGUUAUCAUUUUUUAAAAAAAGGACGUUUUACUUUGAGGAGAGGACAUUCCUGCCGUUUUUGAUAGUUUUUUGGUCAAGAAAAUCUACUUUCUAUAGAAGAAAAACUAAAAGCGCCAAGUCAUCCACUCGGUCUGAAACUAUUUUAUUCAUCUUUACAUGUUUUUUUGGUCGGACAUGUGUUACGAAGUAAUGGAUACCAGAUCGAAAUACGUGAAACAGGAGUGCUCGCUGCGUAAAAUCGUGAAUCCCGGAGCGAAGUUAAGAUGGCGGGUCCUCUGCUCCACAGAGGCUGGUAAAGUGUGCCAGACCGCGGUGGAACGGGCAACCAUCAGGAACUACUACCACAGGGAGCAGAAGCGGGCGAAAAAGGUCGCUAAAAUCAAGGGCAAUGUGAACAAGAAGUCGAAAUCGGGCGAGGGAAGUCCCGCACCACGAGGAGCAAUGGCGCCGGAGAACACUACGCAGUACUUGAUGAGUAACGUGUACGACGACAUGACAGCGACUGACGCUGAAUCUGAAUUUCUUGCUUCAAAUGACAACUGUGCUCGUGUAUACACGGAUUCCAUGUCGCCUACGAGUGUGUACUCGGCUCUGGACUCUGGUUUCAAUGAAAGUUGCCUCGCUUUUCAACAGAGGGACUUCGACGAAAUGUUUGACCUGUGUUGGUAAACCGGGAUGAACUGGUCUACGUGGCCUUCUUGAACCGGUCCGGCUGCCUGUGCCGUCACUGACUUUUACAUGCGGACAAAUAAAAAGCGGCGCACUGGUCGCUGCCCGCCCACUAGGGAGCGCUCCUGAGCCUUGUGCUGCGCCGCCUGGUGGAACGAACCAAACGCACCUCGGCUCUGCUCCGGCCACGGCUGGUGAAAUCCAGGUAAACCCGGGCAGGUAUCUCUGUGUUGCACCACAUAAUCGCAGAUGGCAGUAGUGAUGUUAUGAAUGGAGAGUGCUUUCCACAGUUACUGUUGUCUGAGCGUUUUCCAGGUCCGACUCCUGACAGGACACGUGACUCGGCUGAGAGGAGCCAGGAGACCACGGAGGUCUGCUGUCACGUGACUCUGACAUCAGGUGACAUGCCAGUGUCCAAUGGUUUAUUGACUUGUUUUCAAGAUCAUUGACCAAAUAAGUGUGUAGUCCUGACAAAACUGUUGUAUAGUGUGUGUAUAAAAGUGUAUUUAAUCUGGAAAUGGUUUUAUAUGGAGGAUGAUUCAUGACAUGUUCAGUAAAGGAACUUUGUUAAAAGUGAAA